UACAGAGGGUGCGAGCGUUGUCCGGAAUCACUGGGCGUAAAGGGCGCGUAGGUGGUUGGGGAAGCGUGUGGUGAAAACCCGGGGCUCAACUCCGGGCCUGCAGCCGAUACGGGCAGACUAGAGUUCGGCAGGGGAGACUGGAAUUCCUGGUGUAGCGGUGGAAUGCGCAGAUAUCAGGAGGAACACCGAUGGCGAAGGCAGGUCUCUGGGCCGCAACUGACGCUGAGGAGCGAAAGCAUGGGGAGCGAACAGG
rnacentral:rRNA from 1 species